AUUGAACGCUGGCGGCAGGCCUAACACAUGCAAGUCGAGCGAGCGGCGGACGGGUGAGUAAUGUCUGGGAAACUGCCUGAUGGAGGGGGAUAACUACAGGAAACGGUAGCUAAUACCGCAUACCAUCAGAUGUGCCCAGAUGGGAUGAGCUAGUAGGUGGGGUAAAGGCUCACCUAGGCGACGCACCCAAGCUGGUCUGAGAGGAGGACCAGCCACACUGGAACUGAGACACGGCCCAGACGCCUACGGGAGGCAGCAGUGGGUAAUAUUGCACAAUGGGCGCAGGCCUGAUGCAGCCAUGCCGCGUGUGUGAAGAGGGCCUUCGGGUUGUAAAGCACUUUAAGCGGGGAGGCGUUACCCGCAGAAGAAGCACCGGCUAACUCCGUGCCAGCAGCCGCGGUAAUUC
rnacentral:rRNA from 1 species